AAUGAACGUUGGUGGCGUGGAUUAGGCAUGCAAGUCGUGCGCGAAAGUCCCUUCGGGGACUGGAGAGCGGCGAACGGGGUAGUAAUGCGUCGGAACGUACCCUUGGGUCUGGGAUAACCGCGGGAAACUGCGGGUAAUACCGGAUGACCUCUUUGGAGCAAAGGUGAGACUCCGCCCGAGGAGCGGCCGACGUGAUACCAGCUAGUUGGUGAGGUAAUGGCUCACCAAGGCUCAGACGUCUAGGGGGUGUGAGAGCAUGGCCCCCACCACUGGGACUGAGACACUGCCCAGACACCUCCGGGUGGCGGCAGUCGAGAAUCUUCGGCAAUGGGGGAAAGCCUGACCGAGCGACGCCACGUGCGGGAUGACGGCCCUCGGGUUGUAAACCGCUGUCGAGGGGGAUGAAGUCAUUGGGAGCUAUCUCCCGAUGUUGACAGAGCCCUGGAGGAAGCGCGGGCUAAGUACGUGCCAGCAGCCGCCGUAA
rnacentral:rRNA from 1 species